rnacentral:misc_RNA from 1 species
GAUGAAGAACGCAGCGAAAUGCGAUAACUAAUGUGAAUUGCAGAAUUCAGUGAAUCAUCGAGUCUUUGAACGCACAUUGCGCCCCCUGGUAUUCCGGGGGGCAUGCCUGUCCGAGCGUCAUUGCUGCCCUCAAGCACGGCUUGUGUGUUGGGCUCCGUCCCCCCGGGGACGGGCCCGAAAGGCAGCGGCGGCACCGAGUCCGGUCCUCGAGCGUAUGGGGCUUUGUCACUCGCUCUGUAGGCCCGGCCGGCGCCAGCCGACAACCCAUCAUCCUUUUCAGGUUGACCUCGGAUCAGGUAGGGAUACCCGCUGAACUUAAGCAUAUCAAUAAGCGGAGGA